rnacentral:rRNA from 1 species
UUUAUGGAGAGUUUGAUCCUGGCUCAGAGUGAACGCUGGCGGCGUGCCUAAUACAUGCAAGUCGAACGAUGAAGCUUCUAGCUUGCUAGAAGUGGAUUAGUGGCGCACGGGUGAGUAAGGUAUAGUUAAUCUGCCCUACACAAGAGGACAACAGUUGGA